rnacentral:lncRNA from 1 species
GGGAUGACCCCCCUGCAGAUGAUGCCUGGACGACCACACUUGGGGCUCCACCUCUUUGACCGUCCUAAGGUGAGGCCCAGCUUGCAGGGAAUAUGGGCUAGAUGUGCUGACUCUGAUGGGAUAAAGGUGGGACCCCUCUGCCCGUGGGUAACCCCAUAAACUUCACAGUCUGGAAGGAACAUGGAUCUGGAGGAGACCCAGGCCCAGGUCCUGGUGACGAUGUGACUGCUGAGAACAUGUCUCCUGGGGGGCCUCAAGAAGCAGAGAGAGGAAACAAAACCUUUCUUCUGCUCAUCUGCUUUGCUUCCUGGAAAUCUUUUCCAAGCAGCUCUGCCCUUGCUGCAGCCCUGUCUUGGAGGCUUUCCAGCUGCUCCAAGAAGAAGCCUGGUCCAAGGUUAAUAAGACUGAGUUGGAGCUGUGUGACUCUGCUUUCCUUGCUGCCCCAAAAUAGGUGGCACCUCAGCUCGUGGCUGAGCAUCCCUGGUCCAUCGUGUCCUCCUGCCACUGACGCAGACGGGUCCAAGCCGAGCGCGCAGAGAGAGCCCGGGAUGGAUGGAGCGAUCCGACCUCCUUUCCCAGGCUCACCCCGGGUUUUAGCGAAGAGCUCUGUCACCGCAGGAGGUGGAGGGGGGGGCGCAGCACCGAACAAAUGCUUUGUGACAGCCGGGAAAUGCCGUGGCCUUUGCGAUGGAGCGGAGCUGACGGGCGGCACCGCUCCCUGUGCGAGCUGAGCCUCCCCUUCCAGCGCUGCUCCGCAGGGACCGCGCCUGCGGAACGGAGCUGGGAGGUGGAGUCAGCAGAGGCUGACUGGACCCCUUUGAGAGGGGCUCGGACCCCCUGGAGCCCCCUUGGAGGAGGCUUUUUGCGUGCAGAGUGCAAGCUGCAUCCGUAGUUAUUGCCCUGUUUUCAAACUUCGUUGCUGUUUUUGUCCCCCUCUCCCUGGUGCUGGAUGUGGGUCCUGAGCCUUCUGCUGCAGCCAGUGCUGCUGGUGCUGGGUUCACCCCCGCAUCCUUGUGGAUCUGCAGCGGUUCUUGCUGGAAUGCAUACGGUUUGCAUCAAGAUGAAGGAAAUCUCGGGGAUUUUUGGAGCAUCAGCAAGACAUGGGGCAGCUGGAGAGCGUUCCCGGCCAUCCACAGUCCCGAUUUGGUGCAGCCUUUAAGGGUUCUCCGUUCCAUGGACCAUUGUGCUCAAACGGGAUGGGCACUGGGACAGCCACUUCGGGGCUGGGAGAUCUUCCCCUGGCAAAUCAGGGAGUUUUGGGAAUUUCUAACCAAGCAUCCCCCUUCCCUGGGACGAGCUGAGCCGUUCUGCCCCGAGCCCGUGGGGGCUGCGCUUGCCAGGGCUUGUGUUCCCCCCAGCACCUCCAGCCAAGCUCAUUUCCCCAGUUAAACGUUAUUAGUCCUUGAAUGAAAGGAGGAGGGAGGCAGAGAGGAAGGAUUUUUAUUGGGAAGUCGUUUGUUCCUUAAUUGAAUUGCUCCCGUUAACAGCGGUGAGAGAAGGGGAACAAAAAGCCAAAUGGGAGGUAAAGGCGCUUAUUUGCUUCUGCUUGAGAGGAGCUAAUAUUAAUAAACUUCUGGAUGAAGGGAUUUGUAAGGGUUUG